rnacentral:rRNA from 1 species
GACGAACGCUGGCGGCACGCCUAACACAUGCAAGUCGAACGGAGUUAUGAGAGCUUGCUUUCAUAACUUAGUGGCGGACGGGUGAGUAACACGUGAGCAACCUACCUUUAAGAAAGGGAUAGCUUCUGGAAACGGAUGGUAAUACCUUAUAACAUAGAAAUACGGCAUCGUAUUUUUAUCAAAGAUUUUAUCGCUUAAAGAUGGGCUCGCGGCUGAUUAGCUAGAUGGUGAGGUAAUGGCUCACCAUGGCGACGAUCAGUAGCCGGACUGAGAGGUUGAACGGCCACAUUGGGACUGAGACACGGCCCAGACUCCUACGGGAGGCAGCAGUGGGGGAUAUUGCACAAUGGAGGAAACUCUGAUGCAGCGAUGCCGCGUGGAGGAAGAAGGUCUUCGGAUUGUAAACUCCUGUUAUCGGGGACAAGAUGACGGUACCCGACGAGGAAGCUCCGGCUAACUACGUCGCCAGCAGCCGACGGUAAUAGUAGCGUACUACCG